rnacentral:rRNA from 1 species
AGAGGAAGUAAAAGUCGUAACAAGGUUUCCGUAGGUGAACCUGCGGAAGGAUCAUUAUCGUACAAAAUGUGAGAGGGGCAUGCGAGGGCUGUCGCUGACUCAAAGUCGUGCACGCCCGAGUGUGUCGCCUCACAUAAUAAUCCAUCUCACCCUUUGUGCAUCACCGCGUGGGCACCCCUUUGGGAUCAUCUCGGAGGGGGCUCGCGUUUUCACACAAAACCCCCCUUUUAAAAGUGUAGAAUGACCUCAUUUAUGCGCUAACCCGCAAUCAAUACAACUUUCAACAACGGAUCUCUUGGCUCUCGCAUCGAUGAAGAACGCAGCGAAAUGCGAUACGUAAUGUGAAUUGCAGAAUUCAGUGAAUCAUCGAAUCUUUGAACGCACCUUGCGCCCCCUGGUAUUCCGAGGGGCACACCCGUUUGAGUGUCGUGAAAACCUCAACCUCCUUGGUUUCUUCUGGAGACCAAAGCAGGCUUGGACUUUGGAGGCCUUUGCUGGCACCUCUCGCCAGCUCCUCUUAAAUGAAUUAGCAGGGUCCUCUUUGCUGAUCCUCGACGUGUGAUAAGAUGUUUCCAUGUCUUGGUUUCUGGCUCUGUCACCUUUGGGACCCGCUUCUAACCGUCUUCAACCUUGCGUUGAGACAACGUUCGAGCAUGUCUCCCUUCUCGGGAAGCUCCCUCGACCCCACGAACCCUUGACCUCAAAUCGGGUGAGACUACCCGCUGAACUUAAGCAUAUCAAUAAGCGGAGGAAAAGAAACUAACAAGGAUUCCCCUAGUAACUGCGAGUGAAGCGGGAAAAGCUCAAAUU